CGGAUUGAAGGCUGAAAUUCGCCUUCAUGAAGCUGGAAUUGCUAGUAAUCGCGGAUCAGCAUGCCGCGGUGAAUACGUUCCCGGGCCUUGUACACACCGCCCGUCACACCAUGGGAGUUGGGAGUGCCCAAAGCCGGUGAGGCAACCGAAAGGAGGGAGCUGUCGAAGGUGGAGCCGAUGACUGGGGUGAAGUCGUAACAAGGUAGC
rnacentral:rRNA from 1 species